UGAAGUCAAGUUUCGCGCCGGAAGAUAACGGCUGGGAGUAAACAUUGCGAUUUCAGCAUUGGAGAUCCUCUAAGUCCUACUUAUCACCAAUCAAUUACCUCAAAUGAAAAGUUACCUCGCCAUUAUUGCUCAAAAGACUGGAAGGAGUCCUGU